rnacentral:rRNA from 1 species
UACAUGGGAUGCAAACGUUGCUCGGAAUUAUUGGGCGUAAAGCGCGCGUAGGCGGUUACUUAAGUCGGAUGUGAAAGCCCUCGGCUUAACUGAGGAAGUGCACCCGAAACUGAGUAGCUAGAGUACGAAAGAGGGUCGCGGAAUUCCCGGUGUAGAGGCGGAAUUCGUAGAUAUUCGGAGGAACACCAGUGGCGAAGGCGGUUCUCUGGGCAUGUUCUGACGCUGAGGAGCGAAAGCUAGGGUAGCAAACGGG